AAACAACUCUCAGCAACGGAUAUCUCGGCUCUUGCAACGAUGAAGAACGCAGCGAAAUGCGAUACGUAGUGUGAAUUGCAGAAUUCCGCGAAUCAUCGAGUCUUUGAACGCAAGUUGCGCCCGAGGCUUGACCAAGGGCAUCUCUGCCAGAGCGUCAC
rnacentral:rRNA from 1 species